CCGCGGUUAUACGAGAGACCCCAGUUGAUAACUACGGCGUAAAGAGUGGUUUGGGGCCUCACCCAAAAUAAAGCCAAAGACCUCCCAAGCCGUCAAACGCACCCCGGAGGCACGAAGUCCUAACGCGAAAGCAACUUUACCUCCCCCGACGCCACGAAAGCUAAGAAACAAAC
rnacentral:rRNA from 1 species